rnacentral:rRNA from 1 species
UACAGAGGUCUCAAGCGUUGUUCGGAUUCAUUGGGCGUAAAGGGUGCGUAGGCGGCGCGGUAAGUCGGGUGUGAAAUCUCGGAGCUUAACUCCGAACUGCAUUCGAUACUGCCGUGCUUGAGGACUGGAGAGGAGACUGGAAUUUACGGUGUAGCGGUGAAAUGCGUAGAUAUCGUAAGGAAGACCAGUGGCGAAGCGGUCUCUGGACAGUUCCUGACGCUGAGGCACGAAGUCAGGAGCAACGG